AAGUAAAAGUCGUAACCCGACACUCUUUUUAUUAGUGCCGUCUGAGUACUAUAUAAUAGUUAAAACUUUCAACAACGGAUCUCUUGGUUCUGGCAUCGAUGAAGAACGCAGCGAAAUGCGAUAAGUAAUGUGAAUUGCAGAAUUCAGUGAAUCAUCGAAUCUUUGAACGCACAUUGCGCCCCUUGGUAUUCCGGGGGGCAUGCCUGUUCGAGCGUCAUUUCAACCCUCAAGCUCAGCUUGGUAUUGAGUCCAUGUCAGUAAUGGCAGGCUCUAAAAUCAGUGGCGGCGCCGCUGGGUCCUAAACGUAGUAAUAUAUCUCGUUACAGGUUCUCAGUGAGCUUCUGCCAAAACCCAAAUUUUCUAUGGUUGACCUCGGAUCAGGUAGGGAUACCCGCUGAACUUAAGCAU
rnacentral:rRNA from 1 species